GACGAACCGUGCGAACGUUGUUCGGAAUCACUGGGCUUAAAGGGCGCGUAGGCGGACCUCCAAGUCCGGGGUGAAAUCUUUCGGCUUAACCGGAAAAGUGCCUUGGAUACUGGGGGUCUCGAGGGAGGCAGGGGCGGAUGGAACUUCCGGUGGAGCGGUGAAAUGCGUUGAUAUCGGAAGGAAGCGCCGGUGGCGAAAGCGAUCCGCUGGACCGUCUACUGACGCUGAGGCGCGAAAGCCAGGGGAGCAAACGGG
rnacentral:rRNA from 1 species